UACCUGGCUCAGGAUGAAACGCUGGCGGCAUGCCUAAUACAUGCAAGUCGAACGGAUAUCUUCGGAUAUGAGUGGCGAACGGGUGAGUAACACGUAGGGAACCUGCCUGCAUGAGCGGGAGAACUUCUGGAAACGGAAGCUGAUACCGGAUGAGCAAAGAGGAGGCAUCUUCUUUUGGAAAGGGGACAAGAGUCCCGCAUGCAGAUGGACCUGCGGUGCAUUAGCUGGUUGGAGAGGUAACGGCUCACCAAGGCGACGAUGCAUAGCCGGCCUGAGAGGGCGGACGGCCACACUGGGACUGAGACACGGCCCGGACUCCUGCGGGAGGCAGCAGUAGGGAAUUUUCGUCAAUGGGGGGAACCCUGAACGAGCAAUGCCGCGUGAGCGAGGAAGGUCUUCGGAUCGUAAAGCUCUGUUGCCGGGGACAAAAGGCAGAAAGAGUGGAAAGCUUUCUGAGUGAUGGUACCCGGCGAGGAAGUCACGGCUAACUACGUG
rnacentral:rRNA from 1 species